GCUCAGCUGGGUGGGCUGGUGGGAGGUGGGGCUGGGCUCUGUUACCUAACAGUGGAGGAGCAGCUGGGGAAAGGAGCAGGGUCAUGGCUCCCUGCCCGUGGUGUUGCCUCUGAGGUGCUGUGUGAGGGCAGGCAUCUUCGCCCCUCUCUGGGCCUCGGGACCAUAUCACCCCUUCUGGGGGUAUUGGUUCAUCUUGAAUCCCUCCCCCUUCCAGCUCAGGCCUGCUGGAAUGGGCUGCCCCAGAGCGAAGGGAGGAAUAGUCUCUGUCUCCUCCCCACCCGCACUCCACACAGGUGUGAAUCAGCCCAGAGGAGAGUGGCUCUGACACGAGGGGGCACAACGCGAAGACUUGGGGUGUCGAGUCUCUGG
rnacentral:lncRNA from 1 species